CCUACGGGAGGCAGCAGUGGGGAAUAUUGGGCAAUGGGCGAAAGCCUGACCCAGCAACGCCGCGUGAAGGAAGAAGGCUUUCGGGUUGUAAACUUCUUUUGACAGGGAAGAGCAGAAGACGGUACCUGUCGAAUAAGCCACGGCUAACUACGUGCCAGCAGCCGCGGUAAUACGUAGGUGGCAAGCGUUGUCCGGAUUUACUGGGGGUAAAGGGCGUGUAGCCGGGCUGACAAGUCAGUUGUGAAAUCCGGGGGCUCAACCCCCGAACUGCAUUUGAAACUGUUGGUCUUGAGUAUCGGAGAGGCAGGCGGAAUUCCUAGUGUAGCGGUGAAAUGCGUAGAUAUUAGGAGGAACACCAGUGGCGAAGGCGGCCUGCUGGACGACAACUGACGGUGAGGCGCGAAAGCGUGGGGAGCAAACAGGAUUAGAUACCCCAGUAGUC
rnacentral:rRNA from 1 species